rnacentral:snoRNA from 1 species
UCUGGUGAUGAAUAAGAGCGCUUUGCUCGAAAAUUUAACCCAGCUCGUCGAAUGGCUCUAUAUAACGCUUGAGUCGUCUUGAGAUGAAUUUUCAUCUGAUCAA